GAUGAAGAACGCAGCGAAAUGCGAUAAUUAAUGUGAAUUGCAGAAUUUAGUGAAUCAUCGAGUCUUUGAACGCACAUUGCGCCCCCUGGUAUUCCGGGGGGCAUGCCUGUCCGAGCGUCAUUGCUGCCCUCAAGCACGGCUUGUGUGUUGGGCCCCGUCCUCCGAUCCCGGGGGACGGGCCCGAAAGGCAGCGGCGGCACCGCGUCCGGUCCUCGAGCGUAUGGGGCUUUGUCACCCGCUCUGUAGGCCCGGCCGGCGCUUGCCGAUCAACCCAAAUUUUUAUCCAGGUUGACCUCGGAUCAGGUAGGGAUACCCGCUGAACUUAAGCAUAUCAAUAAGCGGAGGA
rnacentral:misc_RNA from 1 species